CUGGGAGUGAGACACGGCCCAGACUCCUACGGGAGGCAGCAGUGGGGAAUCUUGGACAAUGGGCGCAACCCUGAUCCAGCCAUGCCGCGUGAGUGAUGAAGGCCUUAGGGUUGUAAAGCUCUUUCAUCGGGGAAGAUAAUGACGGUACCCGGAGAAGAAGCCCCGGCUAACUUCGUGCCAGCAGCCGCGGUAAUACGAAGGGGGCUAGCGUUGUUCGGAAUUACUGGGCGUAAAGCGCACGUAGGCGGAUUGGUAAGUCAGGGGUGAAAUCCCGGGGCUCAACCUCGGAACUGCCUUUGAUACUGCCAGUCUUGAGUCCGGGAGAGGUGAGUGGAAUUCCGAGUGUAGAGGUGAAAUUCGUAGAUAUUCGGAAGAACACCAGUGGCGAAGGC
rnacentral:rRNA from 1 species